rnacentral:lncRNA from 1 species
UUUGUUUGAUGUAACAAAUAUUGCCUCAACAUAUUCUUAAUUCAUUCUCGAUAACACCAAGAAAUAACUUCUAAAAGUUUCAAAACACAACGGUAUUUCAGCUUUACUCAAAUGUACAACUGUCCACACUGUCUUUUGCAGAUUCUAGGUCUAAAUUAUCCUAGCUAAAGCGAAAAUAGUACUUCAUAUCUCCCUGCUUCAUAGAUGGAAAAUAGCAGCAGAAGAAAAGGGGAAAGAAGUUCGAAGUCCACGUGUAUUUCAAAUUUUCAACCAGGCGGCCAUUUCAAUUGCCGACCACCCAGAACAUGCAAACGGAGAUGAUAAACAGAUUGGCCUGGAGAAAGAGAAUUUGUUUGAUGUAACAAAUAUUGCCUCAACAUAUUCUUAAUUCAUUCUCGAUAACACCAAGAAAUAACUUCUAAAAGUUUCAAAACACAACGGUAUUUCAGCUUUACUCAAAUGUACAACUGUCCACACUGUCUUUUGCAGAUUCUAGGUCUAAAUUAUCCUAGCUAAAGCGAAAAUAGUACUUCAUAUCUCCCUGCUUCAUAGAUGGAAAAUAGCAGCAGAAGAAAAGGGGAAAGAAGUUCGAAGUCCACGUGUAUUUCAAAUUUUCAACCAGGCGGCCAUUUCAAUUGCCGACCACCCAGAACAUGCAAAUGGAGAUGAUAAACAGAUUGGCCUGGAGAAAGAGAAUUAGAGCAUCGACACAAUUAUGUCAAAUGGAUCAAUGCAAUGAACUAACAAAAAUCAGUAUGGAAAAUAUAUGGAUUAGGAUGAAAGCUUACAA